rnacentral:lncRNA from 1 species
UGCGCCUUGGAGGACAGCGGUCCCCACACCCGGGGGCUCGGGGCUGGGCCGGGCUGCGCGCCGGGGAGGGCCACCCGCCGGGCUCCUCAGGCCUGGGACCCCGGCGGGGGCGGACCGUCCCAUCCCCAAGGGAAGGGGUGUCGCCCAGUCUGGCUCCUCGGGGCCGCGGCAGCGCCAAGGCCGGGCUGUCACCUCCCUGGGGCGGAGCCUCAUACCCUGUCAUCCAGCCCCCAGUCCUGGCCUGGCUUCAGGAUGGGAGGGGGAUGGGCCUGCAAACCAGGGACAGGUGGGGGGAGGGUGCUGAGAUGCGGACAAGCAUGGCCUGGUGGCCCUGACUCAGGGGGGCAGCUCUGCUGGCAGGAAAGCCCUGGCACACUGGGGACACAGAGGGUCAGCCAGACCAGAGGUCCUGCCAGGUGAGCGCCCAGCUCGCUGCUUUUCCAAGCUCACCUUGGAGCGUGCUCCCCUAGCCUGUGAGGAGGUGGAGACCCUGUACCACUGUCUGAGCCACCCACCCCCCACCCACCCCUAGCCUCUCCAGACUGGGCACCCAGAGAAGCCGCUGGCCCAAGUCUGAACGUGGGCCUGGUACAGAGGGGUGGACCCCAGCUCAGCCUGCAUGCGGGGGCAUGGAACCUCAGGUUUCCAUGGAGCUCUCCUGUGAUGCUGUGGGGAGGGCCUGCCUGAGAACUGCGGGUGGCAGGGGCUCGAUCCACCCACCGCCCUGCCUCCCCUGCUGGCGGCCUCCUGGCCUGCUGCGCCGCUCAGGGACCUGGAGGCAGCCUUGAGCUCCUUGAGCUCACACACCCCCACGUGGUCCGGCAGCCAGCGCCUGGUUUCUGCUGCCGUGCGCUCACUGCAAAGAUGGAGGGGUCGCUCUCCUGGCCUUGUCAUGGUAGCCCCAAAGAGCUUGCAGAAAGUGGCCCAGAAAGGAUGGUGUGGAGGAGGGGGCAGGACCCGAGUGGCUGGACAGCUGGGCGCCCCCUGCAGGUGCCUGGGACGCCGGCAUGGAACACAGGCCUGUGGCCGCAGGCCUUGGCUGCCUCCCGGGCCGUGCCCCAGGGCGAAAGCCCCGAAAGGCCGAGUGAGCUGACGCCUGGAGACUUCUUUUAAGAUGACCCGCACCGACCCGCCGGAUCUGCUGGUGUCGACCGUGUACCAGGACAUCAAGGUGGCGGCCCCGGGGCCCGUGUCGAGGCCCCCGCCAUGUGAGGGCCCCAUGGCCCGGCCUGCAGCGCCCGCGCCUUUCAAUA